rnacentral:rRNA from 1 species
UGGGGAAUAUUGGACAAUGGGCGAAAGCCUGAUCCAGCCAUGCCGCGUGUGUGAAGAAGGUCUUCGGAUUGUAAAGCACUUUAAGUUGGGAGGAAGGGCAGUAAGUUAAUACCUUGCUGUUUUGACGUUACCGACAGAAUAAGCACCGGCUAACUCUGUGCCAGCAGCCGCGGUAAUACAGAGGGUGCAAGCGUUAAUCGGAAUUACUGGGCGUAAAGCGCGCGUAGGUGGUUUGUUAAGUUGGAUGUGAAAGCCCCGGGCUCAACCUGGGAACUGCAUCCAAAACUGGCAGGCUAGAGUACGGUAGAGGGUGGUGGAAUUUCCUGUGUAGCGGUGAAAUGCGUAGAUAUAGGAAGGAACACCAGUGGCGAAGGCGACCACCUGGACUGAUACUGACACUGAGGUGCGAAAGCGUGGGGAGCAAACA